rnacentral:rRNA from 1 species
GAUGAACGCUGGCGGCAGGCCUAACACAUGCAAGUCGAGGGGCAUCGCGGAUAGCAAUAUCUGGCGGCGACCGGCGCACGGGUGAGCAACACGUAUGCAACCAACCUUUCGCUGGGGGAUACUCCGGAGAAAUUCGGAACAAUACCCCGUAACACUGCGGGACGGCAUCGUUCUACAGUCAGAGGAGCAAUCCGGCGGAAGACGGGCAUGCGGAUCAUUAGUUAGUUGGCGGGGUAAAGGCCCACCAAGACCACGAUGAUUAGGGGUUCCGGGAGGAAAAACCCCCACACCGGGACUGAGACACGGCCCGGACUCCUACGGGAGGCAGCAGUGAGGAAUAUUGGUCAAUGGUCGGAAGACUGAACCAGCCAUGCCGCGUGCGGGAAGAAGGCCCAACGGGUUUUAAACCGCUUUUGCAGUCGAGCAAUAAGGACUACGUGUAGUCCGACGAGAGUAGAUUGUGAAUAAGCAUCGGCUAACUCCGUGCCAGCAGCCGCGGUAAUACGGAGGAUGCAAGCGUUAUCCGGAUUCAUUGGGUUUAAAGGGUGCGCAGGCGGUUUCAAAGGUCGGCGCGCAAAGACCGGAGCUUAACUCCGGGACAGGCGUCGAAACCGUGAGACUUGAAUUCGGGCAAAGCCGGAGGAAUGUGCGGUGUAGCGGUGAAAUGCAUAGAUAUCGCACAGAAGACCGAUUGCGAAGGCAUCCGGCCGGUCCGAGAUUGACGCUGAGGCACGAAAGCGCGGGGAUCAAACAGGAUUAGAUACCCUGGUAGUCCGCGCCGUAAACGAUGAUAACUCGCCGUCGGAUCCAAGCGGUUCGGUGGCCAAGCGAAAGCGUUAAGUUAUCCACCUGGGGAGUACGGCCGCAAGGCUGAAACUCAAAGGAAUUGACGGGGGCCCGCACAAGCGGAGGAACAUGUGGUUUAAUUCGAUGAUACGCGAGGAACCUUACCCGGGCUCGAACGGAGGCUGAAGAUGGUGGAAACAUCAUCGUCCCGCAAGGGACAGACUUCGAGGUGCUGCAUGGUUGUCGUCAGCUCGUGCCGUGAGGUGUCGGCUCAAGUGCCAUAACGAGCGCAACCCCCGUCGUCGGUUGCCAGCGGAUAAAGCCGGGGACUCCGACGAAACUGCCCGCGCAAGCGGAGAGGAAGGGGGGGAUGACGUCAAAUCAGCACGGCCCUUACGUCCGGGGCGACACACGUGUUACAAUGGGCGGUACAGAGGGCAGCGACGUCGCGAGGCGAAGCGAAUCCCGAAAGCCGCUCCCGGUUCGGAUCGGAGUCUGCAACUCGACUCCGUGAAGCCGGAUUCGCUAGUAAUCGCGCAUCAGCCACGGCGCGGUGAAUACGUUCCCGGGCC